GCCUGGCUUUGCCGUUUCCUUUGGCAGCUCCCAAGACCUGAGGGUAGGAGUCCUGGGCAGCUGGGACCUGCCAGGCCAUUCUGUAUCUCCCAUGGGGCUCACAACCCGGGGACCCCGUUCCUAUCUGAGAGGACCCCUUCUUCCUGAAGCUGGAGCCCGAUACUUGUUGGUGCCAACAACUGAAACCAGAUGUGCAGACACACGUUUUCACGUGGGGCACGUGUGUCCGUUUAGAGGCCAGAAGUCAACUUCAGUAUUGUUCACUCAGCAAAUAUUGAACAAUAUUCUUUGGCACCGAGGACUCAGUCUAGCAAGGAAAUGAGCUGUCAAACAAACAUGACGCACCACAAGCCCAGGGCAUGUGGGAAU
rnacentral:lncRNA from 1 species